UGUACCUCUCUGGGCCAGGAGCUUCUUCUGGGCGGGGUCAUCACCAAGUGGCGGGUUCUCAUUGACGGAGCCGGAAGAGUCGGCAAAUGACAUCAACCUGACACACCCUGAAGUCUAAAGACAUGCAGAGAAAGGAACAACAAGGUCAGACAUUGAGGACACAUCAUGCCUUUUGAGAGAACCAGUCAGGUGGCCGCCCGGGUUCUGCAAAUGGUUUGAUGGCUCGACUGACGGAGACCCUGCAAAGUUAAAGAUGAAACACGUGAUUUUUCCAAGGUCAGAUUGAACCACUUCUCAACAACUCUUUUAAUCAAUGACAUCAUUACACAAACACGCCUCCUUGAUGCACAGAGCACACUUUUCAUAUUAAUUUAGCCUGAUACAGCUUGUUGGAUGUCAAUGUGCACUUCUCUGCAUUAUGUACACUAUGUCAGGACAGUUAUUCUAAGAUAUAUUGUAUAUAACAUAAGCUGGGCAAUUGUACUGGAUGCAUAACCCUAAGAUGAUUUAUCAAUAAUUCAUUGACUAAUAGUGAAGUCUAAUGGGCAAAAAAAAAUGGCUAGCCAGAAGCUGAACUGUACUAUGUUUGUUUAUGGACUCGGCAUGUGGCUCGAGGCAAUUACACUUCUUGUCCCUUACCUCAUAUCUUCUGUGUAUGAAGUCGAAUAAUCGCCCCCGACAUGCAGUAUUACAUAGUCAUUACCGCAUUUGGUUAUCAUCAUUUUUGUUUUGAAAAACUGUAGCCAGCGAAAGCCCGCCACGUACUAUAAAAUCAAUAUGUAGAGCUGGAUCUGGCCCCCGGGCUUCGACUUUAAGACCUGUGGGUUCAAGUCAAUGGAAUUACUGUUAAGUACCAGUUCUGGUCUCCACUCUUCAUGACUGAUGUGGCCAAACACAGCUUCUCCCUGAGGGACCAUGCUUCUGUUGGGCCAAUCACGAGCAGCUUGUGUUCUGCAGAUGACAAAAAAAGAGUUGCAUUAUUCCAGUUUAUGAUAAACCUAACUCUUCAUUUUAAAAUGAGCAAAAUGCUGCCAUUCCCCGGCCUGUCUUUACUGCAUGCUAACUCAAGCUGCAAUCCAAAUCCUUUGUACUCAUUGCACUGCUGAGUAGAAGCACGCGCGCACGCACACAGAGCGAGUGUGGCCAGCUGAAGUAUCUGUAAACAGAGGUGUCAGCUGGAGAGACCUGCAGGUUGAGCGGCGGUGCAUCCAAACUUUGUGACCCCCCACCCCCGCUAAAAACAAAACAAAAACAAAGAUAGGCGAAGCCACUCGCAAUCAUUCGGUUAGCACAUAGCAAGUCACAGCAACAUCUCCCGUGCGUAGACAUUACUCACUUCCAACGCCGUUUGCCAUCUUCCCGUCAUCCCCACACGCCGCACAUCCUGCCACACGCAAACCGCAGCAGUUAAUACCACUUGGAUUAUCACGACGCGUGAACGAGUAAACAAAACACAAGCGUGCCGGUUACCUUGACAGAAAAAAAACCGUGAACACUCCCCGAGGUUUUCCUCGUUGACGUUAGCUCGCGCGCCCCAUCUUCGUAUUGUGCGCCUUAGCUUAGCGUUAACUUCAAUAUCAAGUCGCUCCGUCAGAAUGCUGCAUUUGCUUCAGCGUCCCGGCUUGAUUCGAAGUCCGGCUGGGCCCACGUUCGAUAGCGAGCAGUCAGUCAAGAGGAGAAAAUCGAGCUAUGUGAUCGUACGAGUCACCGUCGU